CGGGCGGAAUCCGAAAAGCCUUGUACAGAGUAGGAG
rnacentral:ncRNA from 1 species